UCCUGUCUGAGGGCCGGCUGCAUAAAAA
rnacentral:sRNA from 1 species